rnacentral:lncRNA from 1 species
AAAAAAGCGAUUGUAUCCAAUUAAAAAAAGGGGGCGAUUCUAUAGAAUAAUUAUAAUAUUUAUUUGAAAAUUUGUACACUUCACUAGUCGAGGUGGUUAGAACUGCACAAAAGUAGGCAACAUUAAGAUAUGAUUGUUUGCUCACACCAUUUUCCAAUUUUUUUAUUGGAUAAGUAAGUUUUCUUUGUUCACAGUUCCAGAACUUGUGAUAUCAAAAUGAAUUCGACACAAAUUUCUAUUAAUUUUUCAUAUUUUUAGAUUAUUAUUUGAAGCGUUUAAAUACAAAUAACAUAUUUUAUUAGUGUUUCUAUUUGCGGUCUCUUGUGGACAGUUGUCUCAUUGGCAAUCAUACCUCAUCUUCUUUUUUUUUU